rnacentral:tRNA from 1 species
GCGAUUCGCUUACACCGAAACGAUGCCUGUGAAAAUCGGACCAUUUUGA